CCUACGGGAGGCAGCAGUGAGGAAUAUUGGUCAAUGGACGAGAGUCUGAACCAGCCAAGUAGCGUGAAGGAUGACUGCCCUAUGGGUUGGAAACUUCUUUUAUAAAGGAAUAAAACGAGGCACGUGUGCCUUUUUGCAUGUACUUUAUGAAUAAGGAUCGGCUAACUCCGGGCCAGGAGCCGCGGUAAAACGGAGGAUCCGAGCGUUAUCCGGAUUUAGUGGGUUUCAUGGGAGCGUAGAUGGGUUGUUAAGUAAGUUGUGCAAGUUUGCGGCUCAACCGUAAAAUUGCAAUUGAUACUGGCAGUCUUGUGUACAGUUGCGGUAGGCGCACUUCGUGGUGUAGCGGU
rnacentral:rRNA from 1 species